rnacentral:rRNA from 1 species
UACGUAGGGGGCAAGCGUUGUCCGGAUUUAUUGGGCGUAAAGAGCGUGUAGGCGGCCAGACAGGUCAGCUGUGAAAACUCGAGGCUCAACCUCGAGACGUCGGUUGAAACCGUCUGGCUAGAGUCCGGAAGAGGAGAGUGGAAUUCCCGGUGUAGCGGUGAAAUGCGCAGAUAUCGGGAAGAACACCAGAGGCGAAGGCGGCGACCUGGACAAGUACUGACACUCAACUACGAAAGCGUGGGGAGCAAACAGG